AUCCCUUACAGAGUUAAGUAGAGAUGAUAAGUGAUAAGUGAGGGCAAGAAUCAAGGAAAGUGCCUAGUUCCUCUUUUCAUUGGAUGCCAGGAAAUGAACUAGUGCUAAAUUUAUCAAAUUAGGAGAUCUUUUAAGCUUUAUUCUGAAUACCAGUUAAGACUGAUUUUUCAUUAAGUGAGUGAUACAUUGUAGCUUCAGAACAUUACCUCAGUACUCAAAUACCACAGUAGUUUUUAUGCUUAACUUUACAUUUAUUCAUUAAGUAUAUAUUUAUUGAACAUCUACUAAGGGUCAGGCCCUGGGCUGACACUGUUUUAACAUGUUUUAAAAUGAAGAGGCCUAUGUAAGUUUUAGACAUUAUUCUAGAAGUAAUAAGAUACUUUUAUUUUCAUUGCCACAGUGUUAAAUGAGUUAAUUCUGAAAUCUGUUUUUUUGUGGCCUAAAGUUUAUGAAUGCUUUGCUUGUCCAGGUCUGCUGGUAAUGGAAUAAAUUUGAUUUUGAGAUCUAAGACUUUCCUAAAGAUAGCUUUUGUAAUAGAGAAAGUAUGUUAAGUUACACAUGGAUCUACAUUAAAAUUUUUGUUUUUAUUUUGAAUAUUUCCAAAGCACAUUUGCAGGGGUACUAAAUUGUGAGCUACUUUAGUAACAGUGGCUUCCAGAUGACCUCAGGAAACAGUACAAAUCAGUGAGAAUGUUUACAGAUCCUCAAAAAAACUACUAUAGUGUUUGGCGAAAUGAAUUUAAGAAGUAAAACGGGAGUUUAACUAGCUUUAUUUAGAAACUGGUUUAUAUCUAACCUCGGGUUCCCCUAGUUUUUCCAUGUUUAAAAUGAUACAUUUUUGACUAUAUGCCAAUUAUGUGAAUAUUUUUGACAUAACCAAAUGUAUGUUUAUAUUUAAGAUUUUGUCAUUUAAUGUUUUUAAAACUGAUGUGAAGGCCAUCUUUUUGAGUGGCCAGGGAGAGUGGUGUCAGUUCUAAGAGCAGUUGAUACCUGUUUUCUUAUUGUAAAUGUGCCAACAAAACUAUUUUACUAUGAUACGUAUUUAAGAGCUCUUAGUUCGCAUGUUUGACUUUAGUCAAUGAUUUUAUAUGAUAUCUGAAUAAAAUUUCCUGAGGAUUAAGCUGUGAAAUAUAUAACCUUCAUCUAAUUUUUGAGGUAUAAAAUAGUAUCUUGCCUACUUUUAUUAAAUUCAUACUCAUAAUUUGUCUGCGUGCUACCUGAAAAAAUAAGCCUAAACCAGAUAUGUUAUGUGCAAUAAAAGUGAUUCUUUAUAUAUUAUCUGCUGCAUUAAGAAAGACUAUUUUUAGAUAUUUAAAAUGUUCUGGUUCAUGUAGAAAUCCAUCAAUUCAAAUCUAUUUAAAAGAUAGAUGACUAUAUUUUUUAAUUUUGAGUAAUAAUUGAUUAUAUAUAUCAUUCCUACCGUUUUAUCUUUUUUUUGCAGUGUUUUUGGAAAAUAGCUGUGUAACUUAUGGAGCAUUAUUUUGAUGUUACUGUAUAAACAUGCAUAAAAUAUUAAAUUCAUAUUUACUUUAUGUUU
rnacentral:lncRNA from 1 species